GAUGAAGUUGAGAAUGAAGAUGAGGAGAAGGAGGAUGACAGGAAUGAGGAUGAAAUGAGGAGGAGGAAGAUGGGGAUGAGGAUGAAGAUGAUGAAGAGGAGGAUGAUGGAGAUGAGGAUAACAAUGGUGAGGAGGAGGAUGAAGAUGAUGAUGAAGAGGAAGAUGAUGGGGAUAAGGAUAAUGAUGGGGAUGAUUGGGUGAGGAUGAGGUUAGUGAGGAUGAGGAUGAUGAUGAUGAGGAGGCUGAUGGGGAUGAGGAUAACAAUGGUGAGGAGGAUGAAGAUGAUGAUGAAGAGGAGGAUGAUGGGGAUAAGGAUAACGAUGAUGAGGAUGAGGAUGAUGGGGAUGAGGAUGAAGAUGAUGAUGAAGAGGAGGAUGAUGGGGAUAAGGAUAACAAUGAUGGGGAUGAUGGGGUGAAGAUGAAGAUGGUGAAGAUGAUGGGGGUGAGGAUGAGGAUGAUGAUGAUGAGGAUGAAGAUGAGGAGGAGGAGGAUGAUGGGGAUAAGAAUAAUGAUAGGAGAGAGGAGGAUGAAGAUGAGGAAGAUGAUGAGGGAGGUGAUGGGCACGAGGAUAAUGAGGAGGAUGAAGAUGAGGAGGAGGAGGAGGAUGGUGGGGAUGAGGAUAACAAUGGUGGGGAUGAUGGGGGUGAGGAUGAAGAUGAUGGGGAUGAAGAUAAUGAUGAGAAUGAUGGGGAUGAGGAUAAUAAUGGUGAGGAGGAUGAAGGUGAUGAUGAGGAGGAUAAUGAGGAUGACGAUGAUGAUGAAGAGAAGGAUGAUGGGGAUGAGGAUAACAAUGGUGAGGAUGAGGAUGAAGAUAAUGAUGAGGAUGAUGGGGAUGAGGAUGAAGAUGAGGAGGAUGAUGGGGGUGAGGAUAACAAUGAUGGGGAUGAUGGGGGUGAGGAUAAUAAUGGUGAGGAGGAUGAAGGUGAUGAGGAGGAGGAUAAUGAGGAUGACGAUGAUGAUGAAGAGAAGGAUGAUGGGGAUGAGGAUAACAAUGAUAGGGGAUGAUGGGGGUGAGGAUGAAGAUGAUGGGGAUGAAGAUAAUGAUGAGGAUGAUGGGGAUGAGGAUGAAGAUGAGGAGGAUGAUGGGGAUGAGGAUGAUGAUGAGGAAGAAGAGGAUAAGGGAAGAGGAGAAAGGAGGAGGUGGAGGAGGAGGAAGAGCAGGAUGAAGAUGAGAAGGAUUGGAUGAUGGG
rnacentral:lncRNA from 1 species